AAGGCAAGCACAUUUCAAUCCAUUGAAGAUCAAAACAAGGUUUUCUUCUCAUUUUGGGAAAUGACAAAGCAUGCACAUAUCAAGUUUAAAAUGAUAUUAAGUGGAAAAUUAGGCCAUAAAAUUACCACUUCAAGUUUAAAAUUGUAUUAAGUGGGAAAUUAGGCAAUGGUGCUUGGAAAAGAAAAAAAAUAUUUUGUGGUGGUGAUUCAUUCUCAAAGCCUAUAAAUAGGCUUC
rnacentral:lncRNA from 1 species